GGGGAAUCUUGCGCAAUGGGAGCAAUCCUGACGCAGCAACGCCGCGUGGGUGAUGAAGGUCUUCGGAUCGUAAAGCCCUGUCGGAGGGGAAGAUGCUUGGAACGUCUAAUAGAUGAGCCAGGUGACGGUACCCUCAAAGGAAGCACCGGCUAACUCUGUGCCAGCAGCCGCGGUAAUACAGAGGGUGCAAGCGUUGUUCGGAAUUAUUGGGCGUAAAGGGAGUGUAGGCGGUUUGGAAAGUCUUCUGUGAAAUCUACGGGCUUAGCCUGUAAAGUGCAGAGGAAACUACCAGGCUUGAGUGUCGGAGAGGAUAGGGGAAUACCCAGUGUAGAGGUGAAAUUCGUAGAGAUUGGGUGGAACACCAGUGGCGAAGGCGCCUAUCUGGCUGACAACUGACGCUGAGACUCGAAAGCAUGGGGAGCAAAC
rnacentral:rRNA from 1 species